UCCGGCGGCGGGUGCGGCGCGGGCGUGGGCACUGCGGCCGCCUCUCUCUCCUCGCGUGCCCAGCGUCCAUCCUUUCCGCGGACCCACACCCGCAGGCCGCCGGGGGGCGGGGGAUGCCGGGCUGCCGCAUCAGCGCCUGCGGCCCAGGGGCUCAGGAAGGGACGGCAGAACCGGGGUCCCCCCCGCCGCCGCCCCGGGAGCCCCUGUCGUCCCUUCAGCCCCCGCCCCCAACUCCGACCUUGACCCCGACCCCAGCUCAGUCCCGGCCGCUGCCGGAGGCGGCCCAGGCGUCAGCUGCGCAGGCCGAGGGUCAGGAGCUGCAGCGCUGGCGCCAGAGCGCUAGUGGGGGCGCUGGGGUCACCGGGGCGGCGGGGGGCGCCGGCGGUGGCUCCGGAGCUGCGGCGGGGGCUGGGGGCCGCGCGCUGGAGCUAGCCGAAGCGCGGCGGCGGCUGUUGGAGGUGGAGGGCCGCCGGCGGCUGGUGUCGGAGCUGGAGAGCCGCGUGCUGCAGCUACACCGAGUCUUUCUGGCCGCCGAGCUGCGCCUGGCGCACCGCGCAGAGAGCCUGAGCCGCCUGAGCGGCGGCGUGGCGCAGGCCGAGCUCUACCUGGCGGCGCACGGGUCGCGCCUCAAGAAGGGCUCGCGUCGUGGCCGCCGCGGCCGCCCGCCGGCGCUGCUGGCCUCUGCUCUCGGCCUGGGGAGCUGCGUGCCCUGGGGCGCCGGGCGGCUGCGGCGCGGCCAUGGCCCCGAGCCCGACUCGCCCUUCCGCCGCAGCCCGCCCCGCGGCCCCGCUUCCCCCCAACGCUGAGCUCAGGCGCCCGGACCCCUGGCCACCCAGGUCGGGCCAUCACCGAGGUGCCAACCAACGGAUUGAGGAUGCCGGCAGGAUGGACGGUGUCACCUAUGCUGAUGAACAGACUGACCCACGACAGGAAGAGACAUACUGGGGGCCAGGAGCCCAGUAAAGGAGGCUGAGGUGCGGUGUUAGUGGCUGGUGGUUUCAAGGGGCGGUGGGGCUGCAGGGCCCAGGAUCUCCUGUCCCUGGGGCUUCUGGCGUCUGCUGAGCCCUUAAUAAGGCUGUCCACUUUCCGUGGCCGCCUCUUGCAGACCACCAGGGGGUAAGGGGCAGCACGAAGUUCCUGUUAUAGAGUUGGACAAAUGGAGGGUGCUCAACUCCCAGGAGGGAUUUAUUUGGUGGCAAACUUUUGCCAGCUGCUGCCGCUGCACUGGCGCAACACCGAACCCUCACCUCUACUUUCCUUGCCUUUUCUGGAUCCCUCGGGGCUGUAAGAAGUCUUGCCCUUGAGGCUGCUGUUUUCUGGCACUUCGAGAAAACAGCAGCCUCAAGCCUCAACAAUAUCAGGACAGAAUAAUGAGGUCCUAGGAUGGGGUGGGGGGUGGCACAGGACUGUAUGACUGAGUUCUCUUCUGAGCCCCUUUACCAUUUGGGGAGAUAGAAUCCCAGAGAAUUUGAGGAUUUGUCCCCAUCAUACUUAAACUUAGACCCUCUGCUUCUUGGAAACAGAGCUUUUCUCAUGUUUCAUGCAGCUUCGUUAAGUCUGAGAUAAUUAGGAUGGGAUAUUUGGCACUUACUCACCUAGCGGCCCUUCUCCCAACUCAUCUCUAAGGUGGCUCUGCCAGUGAUGGCGCCAGGUGUGACACCCUUUAACAGCCCCAAGGGGGCAGGUAUGGCAUCAUCUUCCAGAAAGGUGGGGCUUUAAAGGGCCAGACUAGAAAUAUGAUCUGCUUCUUCCUGUGCAGAUGCCCUUCAGAUCCUUCAUUCCUCUGCCCCCACUCAUCUGUGAUGGCUUGGUCCUUGCUUCCGUGCUCAUAGAUAAUUGCACCUUCACUUGUUAGUCUGUCAGGUAGGUAUUACUACCUCCCAGAAGGGCUAUUUGGAAAUUAAGGGCAAAGGACUGUCUUCUUCCACUGUAAGUCAUGAAAAGAUAUUUUACUCUUUUAAAUCACACCUACAGCCACACACUGCUUCUGCAUGGAGCCAGGAGCUAAUUUAAAGUCCUCAUUUUACAGAACGGAGAGGGAUUUUCUCAAGGUCACUUGCCAGGAAGGGACAGAACAAGGAACCCAGUCCUCUGUGUAUCCACAUAAUAUUCUAUACUGGGGCUAGAGAGAGCUGACCUCUGGGCCCAUCUAUAGUGUGACCAAAAACAACUCUGCCCCAUCUUUGAGUCAGUGUCCUCCUCUUUGACUGUAGCUGUCCUUCUUUGUAUCAGGGCUUGAGACUAGAGGGAAGGAAAGUGAUGAAUCUGUCAGUCUCAGGAAUCUGACUGUGAGUGGUGAAAGGUUAGCUCCAUUGCGGUGAUAGACAGGGACCCUCAUCUGCCCCCCCCCCCCAAUCGGCUCUUCCUUUUCCUAGGUAACAAACUUUUUGGCUGGUUUCCCAGCUAACAACUAGGCCUUCUUGAACCCCUGUUUAGCUGGAGGAAAGCUCUAUCUCAGAGCUCUUGAGAAAGUUUGGGGACCAGGGAAACAGUGAGGAGCCUUGGCAUCUUCUAGUCUCUCGGGAGAAAGAGGACCUUCCAAAGCCACUCUGGUCAUUUCGGGUCCAAAGACCAGGACUUUCUGGAGGUGACACAGUGAGGGAGCUCAGGCAGCAGUGCUGGGCUGCAACCAGGACUGUUUGGUUUCUGGGUCGCAGGAGCAGUUGGUCCAGAGGAGCUUUUAGCUAAUGGCAUGAAGUGCUCUGUGCCAUCAGUUUUGCAUUUCUCUGGGAUUUGUUGGUAAUCAGCUUUAUCCUGAUUUGAGGGGGAGGUAGGUGGAUUCGUAGAGAAUUAGAGAUGAUACUCACAGGAGAAAGGGGUGGGUAUGUGGAGAUUAGUCCUGAUGUCACAGACAUCUCUGUCCCUUCCCUUCACUUCCAGGUGCCCCACUGCUUGCUACCAAGGACCUAGGCCCAGGCAUAAAGAGCUCAGUGACUUAAACCCCAGCUCCUGGUUAGUGUUUUUUCCACUGCUCCUCAGCCAACUAAUAAAAGUCACCUUCCCACUCAUGCCUGACUGCCACCACCCCACCCCCCGCCAUAGAGCUUCCUGACUCCAUUUUUUCCUCAAUCAACAAAUAUUGAUGUCAGUCCAGGGUUUUCAGAAUCAGAUCAGAGAAUCUCUGCUUCUGAGAGCUUGUUUUCCAGCCCUCUUCCAGGCAGACUUCCUUGGCUUCACCAUCCCAGAGGACCCUUGGGGUCUAGAAGUUUGUGUUGUUGGAAGGCAAUUUUUUUAGACCUCCACUAAUAACUAGCCCUUUGGCAAGAGACAGACCCUUCCCUUCCUCCUGUGACUUUCUGAACACUUUCUCAGUGGCCAUUGGACUGAGUACAGGAAUCUUGUGGAGCCUGUACUUUGAGGACACUGAGGCUUUCGUGAUUGAGGACUGAGGGGAAACAGGAGCCUUUCUUCAGGCUGGAGCGUGGGGCUUGGAGACAGUUCAGGGAUCUAGUAUGGAACCUUGCUGCUCCACAUCCCCAGGAUUAGCCUCUUCCCUCUCUUGGCAGAGCUCAGCAGUAUGUGGGUGCUGCCACCAGAGGGCAGUGUGGGGCUACUUCUUGAGACGUGGAGGCGUGGUCUGGAUCGGGUUGGAUCCCCGGUGGUGCCGCCACAAACCAUCCCCUUUCCUGUAGUCCCGGGGUUUCCUUGACUUUGAGCUGUAAGGGUGUGCAGAACCAGCGGGUGGUGGCGGUCGGAUCGGCCCGGGGGUCGGGGUGUAAUUCCAGUGAUGGCUUCCUGGGUGGUCAAGCUGGAAACUCAACUUGUGUGCCUCUUAAGUAGGGGCAGGGAGAGGCGCAGAGGUGGCCCAGCUCUUCAGGAAGGACCUUUCCUUUAGGGAUGACUUCCUGGAAAGAGGUUACCCCUCUGAGUAGAAGCCCAGAAUUCUUUCGCUAUUUACAUAUUUGUGUGAUGCUGAGGAUGGAACCCAGUGCCUCAUACAUGCUAGGCAAGGCCUCUAUCACUGAGCCACAGCCCCAGCCCAGCCCCGCCCCAGGUCGGGUGUUUUUUUUUUUUUUUUUUUUUUGAGACAGGGUAUCGCUUAAUUUCCCAGUCUGUCCUCGAUUUUGCAAUCCUCCUGCCUCAGUCCCUGGAUUACAGGGGUGUGUCCCCAUGGCGCUAUUCAUAGAUUUUGUUACAAUGAUAAUUGAUCAGAACAUCCUGUCCUGGCACCACCUAGCAACAGAGGUGGUCUAGAGAUUAGGCUGAACUGAGAGGUUGUGUCUGAACUGCUCCAGUCCUACAAUGAGCAGUGACCUGGAGGAGCCCGACCCUACAGCCAAAUCCCUUGAGAACAAUUCAGGUGUCCCUGAGCUGGAGAACUGAAGGAGAGGCUCCCAGUUUUAUGGCUUGCCAGAGAGGAAGUAUUUAGGAAAGCUGGGAAAUUCCCAAUCUAUUUCUUCUCCCAUUAUUCCCUGACCACACCCUGGCCAGGAGUGAUGGGGGAGGGGAAGCCUUGGGUCUGGAAUAGUAAAUUAACUACCUCCUCCAUGACAGGCACUGUGCUAAGCACUUCACACCCAUUAUUUGUUUUUUUUUUUUUCUCCCAACCACUCUGCAAAAUAAAGGUUAUCCCCAUUUCCACAGACGAGGAUAACCAGGGUCAGGGAGGGCAGAAGACUUAGUCAAAGACAUAGAACCUGUAAGUGAACCCUUAAACAUUAGGCAUGCUAAUAAUGGCUCCAUUGCCAGGGGUAUCACUGGGCUCUCACCUGGCAGGUGACAAGAGUAACACACUCCCUGGUGUACAAAAAGGGCCCAGGUGAAACAAAAUGACCUGAGAUUCAGUACUGGCCUGAAACUUUUCAGUUGAGGAAUUUUGGGCAAUGACUUCUCUUUUCCAAGUCAGUUUCUUCUGUUUGUUUUUGUACUGGGCUGGAGGUGCCUAGGAUGGAGCUAACUUCUGGGCGUUAAAUGAGAAGUCCCACUAAGUGCCUAGCACAUACUGGAGGUCUGUGCAUGAUGGAACCACUCUGCCUAGGCCAGAAGAGGCUGCCAGAACAGCCUCUAGUCUGUGGGGCAGGGUGGGCCUUGGCUUCUCUACAGCAGAGCAGCUCUACAUCAGGAAUCCCUGGAACGUCCCUCCCCUCCACUGGGCCCUGGAGAACUCCUUAAGGGGAGAGGUGGAGGAGAGGCAGGCUUUUCAUCCCAGGAACAUUCCAUUCUAGCUGCUCAGACCAGUGGGGAUCCCAGCCAAGGACAAAGGCCCAAGGGAACCUCUGCUUUCUCCUUGAGCCCCUCCUUAAGAGGGGCCUUUGUGGAAAGCUGGUGCCAGAGGUAGUCGCUGAAGUGUUGGGCUGGGGUUGGGUGACUGUGGGAAAGAGGUCAUUAAAACUCUUGGAAUUAUUCUUUCCAGCUCCUCCUAGCUCCUCAGAGCCUCUACUCUAUGGAUCUGAACUCCUAGAUUCUGCUCCUUCCCUGGACACCUUCAGGAAGACUUUGAGAAUUGCCCCUACCUGACCUCAGUGCCCUCCUGUCUGGAGCCACCACUUCACCAUGGCAAAGGGCUGGGUUCUGGGGAACUUGCCCACACACUAUGAAUUUCUCUACAUGCACCAUAUUUGCCUUUGCUCUGUAUGAUUGAAGAUGGUAACACAGGGCCCUGAGAUGCAAUCAGAUUAUUUGAGAGUGUAGCAAACAUUUUCAAAGUGACAACAAAAAGGACCUCUCUUUAAAGGUAGAGUCAUCAUUCUUAAGUCACAGAACAGCUGGAGUCCCCAUCUGGUAGAUAUCAGUUGCUUUUGAAUCUGAUGUUUGAGGGAAAACCCUGGUCUGAGAAAUGCCUGUUUCCCUGCCCACUGUCCUCUUCUCCCCAUAUGAGGGUGUGCCUGGGGCCCCUCAAGACAAUCAGCUGCUGCCUCCCAGGGGACACACCCCUUUCUCUGGAAGAGGUAGUGGCAACAUAAAACUCCUAAGCAACAUUUUAAAUACAAGAAGACUAUAUAUUUAUUCAUAAAGUAUCCUGCUAAAGAGGGAAAGUGCACAUUUAUUCACAUACAGCUCAGAACUUGUAAAAUUCUGCAAGCAAAUGGAUAUUGAAUCAGUCCCCUGACAUAUGCGUUCAGGAAGAAUAAAUUUCAAUAAUAUGAGGCCAAGGUGUGUGGUUUUGAGGUCCCCUUUGCAAGUGUCUUUGCUGCCUUCCCUUUGUGUCUGUCACUGCUCUUUCAGUUGACAGUUCCAUGAGCAGAUUCUGUUUAAUUUGGCAGUCUGUGCCUGUCAACUGGUUUGCAGAGACUGAUACCUUCCUUGACCUGGUUCACAGUUCACCCUCCCAAAGAAGUCGCCUCAGUUAAAAGAUCUGAUGUGGAAACUGAGGGACAGGAAUGUGUGUGUGAGAUUGUAUGACGAGGGGGGAGGUUGUCCCCAUUAUUGAUAACAUGGCAUCAUGACAGCCUAUGGGGUUGUUAGUGACUGCUUGUCUAGCAGGGUCCCCAGAGGAGACAGGGCACACUCAAACUGGGAAGUUUUAGCAAGUACUUUUUCCAACAGUGGGUGCUGGGCUUAUUAAUUAAGAAACUAACAAGUUGACUAACUGUAGCUCCAUGGUAGAGCCCUUACCUAGCAUGAUGAGGCCCUGGGUUCCAUCCUCAGCACAGGAAACAAACCAACAGGGAAGGAAAAGAAAUUAGCCAGGGAUGGUGCAUGUCUGGGGGCUCCAAGGUGGAAAGACUUUAGUCUCCUGGGCCUGAAGGGGCAAGGGAAGCAACUGGCCAACCAUGACAACCUGGACCAGGGAGAAUAAACCUUUCCUCCUUCCUGUCUCCUCAGGGCCUCUCUUGUCAAGCGUCAGGAAGCCAGGGAACAAGGGAGCCAUUGAUGCCCUGGGUAGAUGGCAGCCUCCCCAGGGACAGGCCUGAGGAUGAUGGAGAGUGGAUCUGGAGGGGCCAGCCAUAGCACUGUUUCUUCCCUCUGGAAAGCCUAGGUGGGUUGUUAUUGCUCCAGAGAAGAUGGAAGAAGGAGGACAGGAGCUUCCUCCCUCAGCUCCUCACUGGCUCUGAUCCUAGUUCUUGAUUCCCACCUGUCCCGACAUAUCAGGUCGCUGCAGGAAUUGUCCACAGAGAAAUAAUGUCAGCCACUGAGUCAGUGUUUUUCUCAAACCCGGAAACUGCACCACUCCCGAACACACCCACAGGCAUGCUGUUGCCACUGUGGGUCCAGGACAGUCACCACAAGCCAUGGCAAGAAAAUGUACAUCUUGGCAGACUACUAUGCCAGUCAAUCAUAGGAAAAUGACAAAUGUCACAAUAAUGUCAAGCAUGCCCUGCCACAUAUAUGUACAGGAGACACCAUCAUGAUCAUCCACAUGAAAUCAC
rnacentral:lncRNA from 1 species